UACAGAGGGUGCAAGCGUUAAUCGGAAUUACUGGGCGUAAAGCGUGCGCAGGCGGUUAUAUAAGACAGAUGUGAAAUCCCCGGGCUCAACCUGGGAACUGCAUUUGUGACUGCAAGGCUAGAGUACGGCAGAGGGGGAUGGAAUUCCGCGUGUAGCAGUGAAAUGCGUAGAUAUGCGGAGGAACACCAAUGGCGAAGGCAAUCCCCUGGGCCUGUACUGACGCUCAUGCACGAAAGCGUGGGGAGCAAACAGG
rnacentral:rRNA from 1 species